rnacentral:rRNA from 1 species
CCCUUAGAUGUUCUGGGCAGCACGCGCGCUACACUGAUGCAUUCAACGAGUCUAAAACCUGCUCUGAUAGGGGUGGGUAAUCUUUUGAAUGUGCAUCGUGAUUGGGAUAGAUGAUUGAAAUUUUUCAUCUUCAACGAGGAAUGCCUAGUAAACGCAAGUCAUCAGCUUGCAUUGAUUACGUCCCUGCCCUUUGUACACACCGCCCGUCGCUCCUACCGAUUGAAUGAUCCGAUGAAUAUCAUGGAUUGAGGAUGCAAGUAGGUUCACCUAUCUUCAUCUUCGAGAAGUGAAGUAAAUCUUAUCAUUUAGAGGAAGGAGAAGUCGUAACA